rnacentral:rRNA from 1 species
GAGUUUGAUCUUGGCUCAGAUUGAACGCUGGCGGCAUGCCUUACACAUGCAAGUCGAACGGCAGCACGGGCUUCGGCCUGGUGGCGAGUGGCGAACGGGUGAGUAAUACAUCGGAACGUGCCCUGUUGUGGGGGAUAACCAGUCGAAAGAUUGGCUAAUACCGCAUACGACCUGAGGGUGAAAGCGGGGGACCGCAAGGCCUCGCGCAGCAGGAGCGGCCGAUGUCUGAUUAGCUAGUUGGUGGGGUAAAGGCCCACCAAGGCGACGAUCAGUAGCUGGUCUGAGAGGACGAUCAGCCACACUGGGACUGAGACACGGCCCAGACUCCUACGGGAGGCAGCAGUGGGGAAUUUUGGACAAUGGGGGCAACCCUGAUCCAGCAAUGCCGCGUGUGUGAAGAAGGCCUCGGUU